GACGAAGGUGGCAAGCGUUGUUCGGUAUUACUGGGCUUAAAGCGUGUGUAGGCGGAAACAUAAGUGUUUUGUGAAAUCCCUCGGCUCAACCGAGGAAUUGCUUAGCAAACUGUGUUUCUUGAGGCAAGUAGGGGUACACGGAACUCUUGGUGGAGCGGUGGAAUGCGUAGAUAUCAAGAGGAACGCCGGUGGAGAAGUCGGUGUACUGGGCUUGUCCUGACGCUGAGACACGAAAGCGUGGGGAGCAAACAGG
rnacentral:rRNA from 1 species